UUACGACCGUAUCACGCUCAAACACCGUUCCCUGUACGAUCACCGAAGUUAAGCAACCUCGAGCCUGGCCAGUACCUAGAUGGGUGACCGUUUGGGAAUACUAGGAAACCGUA